rnacentral:misc_RNA from 1 species
GAUGAAGAACGUAGUAAAAUGCGAUAAGUAAUGUGAAUUGCAGAAUUCAGUGAAUCAUCGAAUCUUUGAACGCACAUUGCGCCCGCCAGCAUCCUGGCGGGCAUGCCUGUCCGAGCGUCAUUUCAACCCUCAGGGCCCGUCCGCGGGACCUGGCGUUGGGGAUCGGCCGCGCCCACAGAGGCCGGCCGGCCCUGAAAUACAGUGGCGGUCACGUCGCGACCUCCCCCGCGUAGUAGAAUACACCUCGCAACUGGAGAGCGGCGCGGCCAUGCCGUAAAACACCCAACUUCUGAAUGUUGACCUCGAAUCAGGUAGGAAUACCCGCUGAACUUAAGCAUAUCAAUAAGCGGAGGA